UACGGAGGAUGCAAGCGUUAUCCGGAUUUAUUGGGUUUAAAGGGUGCGUAGGCGGAAUAGUAAGUCAGUGGUGAAAUCUUGCAGCUUAACUGUAAAAUUGCCGUUGAUACUGCUUUUCUUGAGUAUAGUUGAGGUAGGCGGAAUGUGUAAUGUAGCGGUGAAAUGCUUAGAUAUUACACAGAACACCGAUUGCGUAGGCAGCUUACUAAGCUAUAACUGACGCUGAGGCACGAAAGCGUGGGGAUCGAACAGG
rnacentral:rRNA from 1 species